UUUCUAUUCUUCUUCAAAACAAAGAAAAAAACCUUUAUAACAUUAUUUUCCUUCCGCAUUUUUUUAAAUGUUACACAUAUUCCUAUU
rnacentral:ribozyme from 12 species